ensembl:lncRNA
CCGACUACUUGGUAUUACCCAAACUAUUUCGCAAGGUCGCUGGGAUGAAUAGUAAGAGAAGACUAAUGCUAACUGUACAUGAAUGGAUAUGAAAAGGACACUGAAAGGCAGCCAGGGCCAGACAACAAUUUUUAAUUGUUGGUCGUCAAAGGAGCCAAAAGCCAAAAGGAGUAAAAAUCCUGACGAUAAGGAGGAGAAGAGGGAAAGAGAGGGAAAUGGCCAAGGAGGCGACAGAGGGUCAGGUGACCAGAAAGAGAGAGAAGAAGAAGACAGAGGAGGCAACAGAGCAAUUGAAGGAGAGAGAGGAGGCGACAGAGGGACAGGUGACCAGAAAGAGAGAGAAGGCGACAGAGCAAUUGAAGGAGAGCGAGGAGGCGACAGAGGGUCAGGUGACCAGAGAGAGAGAGAAGAAGGAGACAGAGGAGGUGACAGAGCAAUUGAAAGAGAGCGAGGAGGCGACAGAGGGUCAGGUGACCAGAGAGAGAGAGAAGAAGAAGGAGACAGAGGAGGCGACAAAGGGUCAGAUGGCCAAAGUGAGGGAGAGAGAGCACAGAGACAGGCAGCGCAGCAGGCACAGAUGACCAGGUAAGAGACCUCAAACAAAAUUGUGCAUGCCAUACACUGUCAGAACACUGA